rnacentral:tRNA from 1 species
GCCAGAGUGGCAUAGUGGUUUGAGUGCUGGACUGUGACUCUGGAGAGCAGGGUUUGAUUCCCAGCUCGGCCA